UACAGAGGGUGCAAGCGUUGUUCGGAAUUAUUGGGCGUAAAGCGCGUGUAGGCGGCUUGUUAAGUCGGGUGUGAAAGCCCUCAGCUCAACUGAGGAAGGGCGCCCGAAACUGGCGAGCUUGAGUGUCGGAGAGGAUGGCGGAAUACCCCAAGUAGAGGUGAAAUUCGUAGAUAUGGGGUGGAACACCGGUGGCGGAGGCGGCCAUCUGGACGACAACUGACGCUGAGACGCGAAAGCCAGGGGAGCAAACGGG
rnacentral:rRNA from 1 species